CCUACGGGAGGCAGCAGUGAGGCAUAUUGGUCAAUGGGCGAGAGCCUGAACCAGCCAAGUCGCGUGAGGGAGUACUGCCCUAUGGGUUGUAAACCUCUUUUGUCGGGGAGCAAAAGCCGGACGUGUCCGGCUGUGAGAGUACCCGAAGAAAAAGCAUCGGCUAACUCCGUGCCAGCAGCCGCGGUAAUACGGAGGAUGCGAGCGUUAUCCGGAUUUAUUGGGUUUAAAGGGUGCGCAGGCGGAUUUUUAAGUCAGCGGUAAAAUCGUGGGGCUCAACCCCAUCCAGCCGUUGAAACUGGGGAUCUAGAGUGUGCGAGAGGUAUGCGGAAUGCGUGGUGUAGCGGUGAAAUGCAUAGAUAUCACGCAGAACCCCGAUUGCGAAGGCAGCAUACCGGUGCACAACUGACGCUCAGGCACGAAAGCGUGGGUAUCGAACAGGAUUAGAUACCCUUGUAGUC
rnacentral:rRNA from 1 species